AGGCACUGAAAAUGCCUAGAUGAGUGUAUUAACUCCAUAAACA
rnacentral:tRNA from 1 species